rnacentral:rRNA from 1 species
CACUGCGACACUACCCUGAAAGGAUGGCGCUAAAGCGUCGUGCCUAUACCGGGCCGUCAACGGCCACAGUGGGCCUCUGCCUUCGGGCAAGAGCCGUUACGUCUUGACGAGUAGGAGGGUCGCGGCGGUGUGCGCAGAAGGGUCUGGGCGUGAGCCUGCCUGGAGCCGCCGUCGGCGCAGAUCUUGGUGGUAGUAGCAAAUACUCUAGAGAGGGCCUGGAGAGCCGAUGUGGAGAAGGGUUUCUUGUGAACAGCCGUUGUACAAGAGUAAGUCGAUCCUAAGUGCUAGGAGAAAUCCGAUGUUGAUGGUCUGGCUGUCGACUUCUAUUCUCAACACUUAGAAAACGCUUCAGGCUUCCGGGCCGUAAAAGCGUAGGUUCUUUCUCGUGCCAUACACUCUAUUGAUGUGUGGACUGUCUCUGUUGUGUUUUCCGACAGACUGGGCGGAAACGCCCAGCCGUGUACGGACACGAACGACCUCUUAUUUCCCACAUCCGUGUGGGAUUCGUUUAUCUCAUCAGAGUAGUCCAGGCUCUUCAUUGCUAGCCAAGAUUUGCUAGCCAAAGAUUGGAACUAGCCUCGGAACUAGCCUCGGAGCUUUUGGCCGAGGAAGGACAAUGUGUUAUCCUUUAGCCCGUUGAAGGGCGAAAGGGAAUCCGGUCAACAUUCCGGAACCCGGCUGCGUAAACCGCUCUCUGUUGGCGUCAGCCGGCGAGCGCUUUGUUGGGGUAACCCAAGCUGUCCCGGAGACUCUGGCGGGGGGUCUGGGAAGAGUUUUCUUUUCUUUUUAAGCGUUCGUGGACCCUGGAAUUCUAUAGCAGAGAGAAUAGGGGUUUGGAACGCGAAAAACAUCGCAGUUGGCGGCGGUGACCGGACUUCCCCCCCGGACCUUGAAAAUCUNNGUGAGAGCGAUGCGGUGAUCGCGCCGGUUCGUAUCCAUAUCCNGCAUCUGGUCUCCAAGGUUCAAAGCCUCUUGUCGANANNAUNNUNGNUAGGNANNGGAAGUCGGCAAAUUGGAUCCGUAACUUCGGGACAAGGAUUGGCUCUGAGGAUCGGGGCGUGUCGGGCUUGGUCGGGAAGCGGGUCAGUGCCAACGUGCCGGGCCUGGGCGAGGGUCGUUGUGGUUUCCUUGGCAGCAAUGCCUUUGUUACCCACGAUCCGAACUCGGUCCCGUGCCACUUGGCCUCCCGCGGAUCUUCCUUGCUGCGGGUUUUCGACCAAGCAGACCAGGCUGGGCCGCUUCAGGCCCGCCGGGACGGCUUCGAAUCAAUCCCUUCGGCCGCCAUUCAACGGUCAACUCAGAACUGGCACGGACAAGGAGAAUCCGACUGCCUAAUUAAAGCAAAGCAUUGCGAGGGCUCUAGCCGAGUGCUUACGCAAUGUGAUUUCUGCCCAGUGCUCUGAAUGUCAACGUGUAGAAAUUCAAGCAAGCGCGGGUAAACGGCGGGAGUAACUAUGACUCUCUUAAGGUAGCCAAAUGCCUCGUCAUCCAAUUAGUGACGCGCAUGAAUGGAUUAACGAGAUUCUCACUGUCCCUAUCUACUAUCUAGCGAAACCACAGCCAAGGGAACGGGCUUGGAAACAUUAGCGGGGAAAGAAGACCCUGUUGAGCUUGACUCUAGUCUGGCACUGUAAGGAGACAUGAGAGGUGUAGCAUAAGUGGGAGAAGGUGUGGCUUCUUGCCUGUCCGUCGACGGUGAAAUACCACUACUUUCAUCGUUUCUUUACUUACUCGGAUAGGCGGAGAGCGUGUCCGUCGAGGGCUCAGCCCACGCGGACCGGUAUUCUCGCGCCAAGCGUCCGGGUUGCCGGCAAGCGCCCAUCAGUGCUUGGGUUCGUGCGUGUCUUCGACCUGUCGCCGCAAGGUGGCUUGUCACCGACCCACGGCCUUCGCCUCGAUUGGGCGCCGUCGACCGGCAAACACUCCCACGCGUGAUCCGAUUCGAGGACACAGCCAGGCGGGGAGUUUGACUGGGGCGGUACAUCUGUCAAAUGAUAACGCAGGUGUCCUAAGGCCAGCUCAGCGAGGACAGAAACCUCGCGUAGAGCAAAAGGGCAAAUGCUGGUUUGAUCCCGAUGUCCAGUAGGCAUAGGGACUGCGAAAGCAGGGCCUGUCGAUCCUUUUGGCUUGAAGAGAUUUCAGCAAGAGGUGU